CGACUGACACUGAAGCACGAAAGUGUGGGUAUCAACCAGGAUUAGAUACCCUGGUAGUCCACACAGUAAACGAUGAUUACUCGCUGUUUGCGAUACACAGCAAGCGGCUUAGCGAAAGCGUUAAGUAAUCCAUCCUGGGGAGUACGCCGGCAACGGUGAAACUCAAAGGAAUUGACGGGGGCCCGCACAAGCGGAGGAACAUGUGGUUUAAUUCGAUGAUACGCGAGGAACCUUACCCGGGCUCGAACGGCUAUAGAAUGGCAAUGAAAGUUGUUAGCCAGUAAUGGCUGUAGUCGAGGUGCUGCAUGGUUGUCGUCAGCUCGUGCCGUGAGGUGUCAGCUUAAGUGCCAUAACGAGCGCAACCCUUAUCUUUAGUUACCAUCAGGUUAAGCUGGGGACUCUAGAGAGACUGCCGCCGUAAGGUGAGAGGAAGGUGGGGAUGACGUCAAAUCAGCACGGCCCUUACGUCCGGGGCUACACACGUGUUACAAUGGGUGGGACAGAGAGGAGCAAGUUAGCGAUAAUGCGCGAAUCUUCAAACCCGCUCUCAGUUCGGAUCGAAGUCUGCAACCCGACUUCGUGAAGCUGGAUUCGCUAGUAAUCGCGCAUCAGCCAUGGCGCGGUGAAUACGUUCCCGGGCCUUGUACACACCGCCCGUCAAGCCAUGGAAGCCGGGGGUACCUGAAGAGCGUAACCGCAAGGAGCGUUCUAGGGUAAAACUGGUAACUGGGGCUAAGUCGUAACAAGGUAGCCGUA
rnacentral:rRNA from 1 species